GAUGAACGCUAGCGGCAGGCUUAACACAUGCAAGUCGAGGGGCAGCAUAAACAUUGCUUGCAAUGUUUGAUGGCGACCGGCGCACGGGUGCGUAACGCGUAUGUAACCUACCUCAAACAGGGGCAUAACACUGAGAAAUUGGUACUAAUUCCCCAUAACACCUGAUAGGGCAUCCUAUUAGGUUGAAAGUUCCGGCGGUUUGAGAUGGACAUGCGUUGUAUUAGCUAGUUGGUGAGGUAACGGCUCACCAAGGCGACGAUACAUAGGGGGACUGAGAGGUUAACCCCCCACAUUGGUACUGAGACACGGACCAA
rnacentral:rRNA from 1 species